GACUCCCAGGCCAGAGAUCAGGGAGGAUGAGCCGUGGGAAUCUCUCUGGCCCUCCAGUACACCUGAGUUAAAGGACUUCAUUUUCAGGCAUUCUCCCGUACACUUGGCUAACUCCCGCUCUCCCUGGAUCACUUUACUUUUCUAUGCACCUAGAACGAGAAACAUCUUUGUUCCUUGUAGCAUCCACAGAUGGCACCUUGACAUACAUAGAGCAAUUCCUAAGUGGAAUCAUUAGGAAGGAACAAAAAAAAAUUUGGUGUACAUGUCCUCAUCUCAGCCCUGACGAUAGAAUAUUCCAAACAUUCUUUCCUCAACUCAUCUACUGAACUUCACUGCUUCGACUUUGUAUCCUUUCAUUGAUCUCAGAGAAUUUUGUAUUCCUUCAUUAAUCCUCGUGGCUCGUGGCCGGAACACUCACUGCUAGCGCCAUCUUCUGAGGCUUUUCUGAUCCCCUCCGCCAUGAAUAGUGUUCCCUCCAAGGUUACCUGGUAUCAACUUUGCGUAUCCCUAUGUAUCAAUCAAGCAACAAAUAUUUUACAGUGAAACAACCCCUACUUGAAAGGAGUUUCCAUUUUAAUUGGGAGAGAAUAAGCAUUUAUUAAGCAUCUACAGUGUGAUGUGCCAGGUAAUGUGCUAAUAAUAAUAAUGAUGAUAGCUAACAUUUUUUAGAGCUCUUAUUAUGUGCAAGGCACUGUGCUAAGCCCUUUACAAUUAUUAUCUCAUUUAUUUUUCACAAGCCGGGGAGGUAGGUGCUAUUAUUUUUACAGAUGAGAAAACUGAGGCAGACAAAAAUUAAUUAACUUGCCUAAGGUCACAGAGCUGGUAAGUGUCUAAGGCUGAAUUUGAACUCAGUCCCUCCUGACUUCAGGUCCAGCACUCUAUCUACUGCACCACUCAGAUAACAAGAUAUAUGUGUGUGUGUGUGUGUGUGUGUGUGUGUGUGUGUAUGUGUGUAUAUAUAUGUAUAUAUUUGUGUGUGUGUGUGUAUAUAUAUAUAUAUAGAUAUAUAUAUAUAAUAUAUAUAUAUAUAGUUAACAUA
rnacentral:lncRNA from 1 species